GGUACCUUUAAUUCAGUCCUGUGAGGCUGACAAGGUAGGUCGUACAGAUAAGGGGUUUUUUGUGUUAUUCACUCAAAACCUUGUCUAACUAUGCGUAUCUAGGUUUCUUGUCAGCAAAAAAGGUUGAUAAGAAACCUUUUUUGU
rfam:Bacillus krulwichiae strain AM31D, complete genome.